AUCAGAGCCAGAAAGGAAGGAAGAGAGAGGGGGAGAGAGAGAAAGAGAAAGAAAGAAGGAAAGAAGGAAAGGGAGAGAGAUCCGUCCAAACCAUCUACAUUUUGGAGAAACCCCAAGUUCUGGUUGUUUUCUGGCUUGAUGGUAGUUGAAAGAAGUGUUAAGGAUGUUGAGAUGAAGCCGCUGUCAAAAUUUGGUGACCAUCGGAGGAGUUGGCCGACGAGUGAACAGUGCCGACGAGUGAAUAGUCGGGUGACAUAUCGAAUUAUUAUUUGGUGAAGGAACUCGUACGCGUGAACGACUAAAUAGUACUGUGAGUGGACUUUUGUUUUAAAUAACGAUGCAUGCAUUUAUUUUCUUAAAA